rnacentral:rRNA from 1 species
GAUGAACGCCGGCGGUGUGCCUAAUACAUGCAAGUCGAACGCGUUGGCCUAAUUGAUUGCUGGUGCUUGCACCUGAUUGAUUUUGGUCGCCAACGAGUGGCGGACGGGUGAGUAACACGUAGGUAACCUGCCCAGAAGCGGGGGACAACAUUUGGAAACAGAUGCUAAUACCGCAUAACAGCGUUGUUCGCAUGAACAACGCUUAAAAGAUGGCUUCUCGCUAUCACUUCUGGAUGGACCUGCGGUGCAUUAGCUUGUUGGUGGGGUAACGGCCUACCAAGGCGAUGAUGCAUAGCCGAGUUGAGAGACUGAUCGGCCACAAUGGGACUGAGACACGGCCCAUACUCCUACGGGAGGCAGCAGUAGGGAAUCUUCCACAAUGGGCGCAAGCCUGAUGGAGCAACACCGCGUGAGUGAAGAAGGGUUUCGGAUCGUAAAGCUCUGUUGUUAAAGAAGAACACGUAUGAGAGUAACUGUUCAUACGUUGACGGUAUUUAACCAGAAAGUCACGGCUAACUACGUG